UUCAAUAUCCAUCGAUUGAAUUGUAUGCUGUACUCGGAAAGAUUACCGAAUUUCUUUUCGAUUUUUGCAAGAUCAUCUGCCAUCGUGCAGUCACAACAAAAUCGCGCAUGCAACUGAAUCGAGGAUUCGGUGCAUUGUAUUUAUCUAACGCUUGCGCAUACUUUGUCAAAGGAUAUGCGCCGAUCGAUUUGAUACAGUUAAUGAAACUUAUCAGUCAUUUUGUAUUCCACGCCAGAUCGUAUAAUAAUCAUAAUCAGAUUAAAAAUAUCUUUAUCAGUGAUGGUAAUGAAAUUUGCGAAUCAUCUGUGUAAUAUAUCAAUGUGCGAUCAACCAAAUUAUUUUCAACAAAAAAAAAUAUACAAAACUGAUUAUAAAUUUUGGAAACGAAAAUCUUAACAAAUAUAUCUAAAUUUGGAAAAUAGCAUACCGCAAGAAUGCAAUAGCUAAACAUGCAUAUACUCAAUAUAUUCUUGAACAUUUCCAUGAAGCAUAUUGGGCUCAAUAGAUGUUCAGUACGUUCUAGGAAACUUUAGUUAAUAUGUAAUUAGAGAAAAUCUCUAAAGAGAGAUAGAUAAAUAGAUAAAAAGAAAACGACAGUAGAAACAGAAAGAAACUAUAUAAAAAAUGUUACCUUAGAAUUCUCAAAUGAUGUUCGAUGAUUACACUUAUUUCAUCAAUGCGUACAUUUUUAUUUUCUUCUUGUGAUUGAUUUACAAAUUCUUCAAUCCACGUAAUCAUUAUAGUUAAUUGACCAAUAGCAUGAUAUGCAAAUACUGUAGCAAGACUGAAAGCGAUAACAACAGUAGCACUACUUGUGUAUGACGUCAGGUAUUGCAAACUAAGAAUGAUGGCGUGUCCUGGAUUAGUAUCAACCGGAAUUUUAUAUGUUGGAAAUGAUUAUUGAUCAAACUUCGUUACAAAAAUUCCAAACUGUUCACAAUUGAUAAUUAUAAUAAAAAAAACCAAAUUGUAAGCAUUUGAAUAAUGGAAUAUAUCACAAAUUCAACCAAGUAUCAAAUCCACGAUUUCAAAGGACAAAAUGAUACUGUUGAAUCAUCAGAGAUUGAAUUUUCUCAGUGAAAAGAGAAGAAUUAUCUAUUAAUAAUCGAUCGAUAUUAACAAUUAACAAUUUAUUUGGAUAUCCAAUCUCUACUAUAAAUGGAUGGCGAGUUUUGAUAGUAAUGAAAUUUGGAUCAUCUGUAUAGUACAUCAACAUGCGACCAACCAAAUUAUUUUCAAUAAAAAAAUACAUAACACUAAUUAUAAAUUUUGGAAACAAAAAUCUUAAUAAAUAUAAUUAAAUUUGCAAAAAUAGCAUACCGCAAGAAUGCAAUAGCUAAACAUGCAUAUACUCAAUAUAUUCUUGAACAUUUCCAUGAAGCAUAUUGGGCUCAAUAGAUGUUCAGUACGUUCUAGGAAACUUUAGUUAAUAUGUAAUUAGAGAAAAUUUCUAGAGAGAGAUAGAUAAAUAGAUAAAAAGAGAAAGAUAAUAGAAACAGGAAGAAACUAUACUUAAAAAUGUUACCUUAGAAUUCUCAAAUGAUGCUCGAUGAUUACACUUAUUUCAUCAAUGUGUACAUUUUUAUUUUCUUUUUGUGGCUGAUUUACAAAUUCUUGGAUCCACGUAACCAUUAUAGUUAACUGACCAAUAGCAUGACAUGCAAAUACUGUAGCAAGGCUGAAAGCGAUAACAACAGUAGCACUCAUUAUGUAUGACGUCAGAUAUUGCAAACCAAGAAUGAUGGCAUGCCCUGGAUUAGUAUCAACUGGAAUUUUAUAAGUUGGAAAUGAUUAUUGUAAAGAAGCACGAAACAAAUCAGCUGGAAUGUUCUUAAUGCAUUUACGCGAAACAAAAAUGUAAUAUUUAAUUGAAAAAUCUAAGAGAAUAAUUUUGAUCUUUGAAUCAAGAUCUUCUAUUUUGUUGAGGAAAAUGCAUAAAACGCAGGUAUUAUUAGGAGGAAACGUAAAUUGUAUUGCAAGCUAUAAAUGUUAUUCAUUCAUCCUCAAGCAAUUCAGUCUGUACACUGCUAGUGCAGUUGAAGUCUCCUCCUAACCACCAGUUGAUUCGAUCAUAAGAAAGGUAUGUAUGUAUAAAUUUAUUAACAAUAAGUGCAAAUGUUCGAUGAAAUUUUUACAAAUAUUUAUUUUCG